UUUUGAUGAUGAGGAUGUAUU
rnacentral:piRNA from 1 species